GAUGAACGCUGGCGGCGUGCCUAAUACAUGCAAGUCGAGCGAACGGACGAGAAGCUUGCUUCUCUGAUGUUAGCGGCGGACGGGUGAGUAACACGUGGAUAACCUACCUAUAAGACUGGGAUAACUUCGGGAAACCGGAGCUAAUACCGGAUAAUAUUUUGAACCGCAUGGUUCAAAAGUGAAAGACGGUCUUUCUGUCACUUAUAGAUGGAUCCGCGCUGCAUUAGCUAGUUGGUAAGGUAACGGCUUACCAAGGCAACGAUGCAUAGCCGACCUGAGAGGGUGAUCGGCCACACUGGAACUGAGACACGGUCCAGACUCCUACGGGAGGCAGCAGUAGGGAAUCUUCCGCAAUGGGCGAAAGCCUGACGGAGCGACGCCGCGUGAGUGAUGAAGGUCUUCGGAUCGUAAAACUCUGUUAUUAGGGAAGAACAUAUGUGUAAGUAACUGUGCACAUCUUGACGGUACCUAAUCAGAAAGCCACGGCUAACUACGUG
rnacentral:rRNA from 1 species